UCCUGACAGAUGUUUCAUGUGAAACACUGACAAUCCCAAGACAGGAGAAAUCACAUG
rnacentral:ncRNA from 1 species